ACCAGCCAAGUCGCGUGAAGGAAGACAGUCCUAGGAUUGUAAACUUCUUUUAUACGGGAAUAACGGGCGAUACGAGUAUUGCAUUGAAUGUACCGUAAGAAUAAGCAUCGGCUAACUCCGUGCCAGCAGCCGCGGUAAUACGGAGGAUGCGAGCGUUAUCCGGAUUUAUUGGGUUUAAAGGGUGCGUAGGUUGUUCGGUAAGUCAGCGGUGAAACCUGAGCGCUCAACGUUCAGCCUGCCGUUGAAACUGCCGGGCUUGAGUUCAGUGGCGGCAGGCGGAAUUCGUGGUGUAGCGGUGAAAUGCAUAGAUAUCACGAGGAACUCCGAUUGCGAAGGCAGCUUGCCAUACUGCGACUGACACUGAAGCACGAAGGCGUGGGUAUCAAACAGGAUUAGAUACCCUGGUAGUCCACGCAGUAAACGAUGAUUACUAGGAGUUUGCGAUAUACCGUCAAGCUCCACAGCGAAGCGUAAGUAUCACCUGGGGAGUACGCCGGCAACGGUGAAACUC
rnacentral:rRNA from 1 species